CAAUAGCGUAUAUUAAAGUUGUUGCAGUUAAAAAGCUCGUAGUUGGAUUUCUGGUAGGAGUGACCGUGCCGGAUUUGAUUAUCCGUGUAUUGAGUUGUCUCCAGCCAUCCUUGUGGAGAACUUUUCUUGCAUUAAUUUGUAGGGAUUGGGACCCGCAUCGUUUACUGUGAAAAAAUUAGAGUGUUUAAAGCAGGCAAUCGCUUGAAUACAUUAGCAUGGAAUAAUAAGAUAGGACUUUGGUACUAUUUUGUUGGUUUGCAUACCAAAUUAAUGAUCAACAGGAACAGUUUGAGGAUAUUCGUAUGAACAUGUCAGAGGUGAAAUUCUUGGAUUUUGAUCAGACGAACUACUGCGAAAGCAUUUAUCAAGGAUGUUUUCAUUAA
rnacentral:rRNA from 1 species